rnacentral:rRNA from 1 species
UUACUGGGCGUAAAGCGUGCGUAGGCGGCUUUUUAAGUCGGAUGUGAAAUCCCCGAGCUUAACUUGGGAAUUGCAUUCGAUACUGGGAAGCUAGAGUAUGGGAGAGGAUGGUAGAAUUCCAGGUGUAGCGGUGAAAUGCGUAGAGAUCUGGAGGAAUACCGAUGGCGAAGGCAGCCAUCUGGCCUAAUACUGACGCUGAGGUACGAAAGCAUGGGGAGCAAACAGGAUUAGAUACCCUGGUAGUCCAUGCCGUAAACGAUGUCUACUAGCCCUUGUGGCCUGUGUGC